rfam:Geosporobacter ferrireducens strain IRF9, complete genome.
AUAUAAAUAGGGGUUGUAGGGGAUGAAAUCCCCUGCCGUACUAAGGAGGGUGCUCAGACUGCGAUAGCAGUCGUCGAAUAUAAA